rnacentral:rRNA from 1 species
CCUACGGGAGGCAGCAGUGGGGAAUAUUGCACAAUGGGCGCAAGCCUGAUGCAGCCAUGCCGCGUGUGUGAAGAAGGCCUUCGGGUUGUAAAGCACUUUCAGCGGGGAGGAAGGCGGUGAGGUUAAUAACCUCAUCGAUUGACGUCACCCGCAGAAGAAGCACCGGCUAACUCCGUGCCAGCAGCCGCGGUAAUACGGAGGGUGCAAGCGUUAAUCGGAAUUACUGGGCGUAAAGCGCACGCAGGCGGUCUGUCAAGUCGGAUGUGAAAUCCCCGGGCUCAACCUGGGAACUGCAUUCGAAACUGGCAGGCUAGAGUCUUGUAGAGGGGGGUAGAAUUCCAGGUGUAGCGGUGAAAUGCGUAGAGAUCUGGAGGAAUACCGGUGGCGAAGGCGGCCCCCUGGACAAAGACUGACGCUCAGGUGCGAAAGCGUGGGGAGCAAACAGGAUUGAUACCCGAGUAGUC